CAGAGAAUGUCCCCAACGGGGCCAGGGCCUGGCCCUCGCUCAGUGGCCUGGGCGGGCUGGUGGGGGCUGGCAGGCAGCGGCCUCUCUCACCCCUUGGUCUCUUUGCCUUGCAGUUGCCCCCCAGCGGUCCCGGAAAAAGCGCUGUCCCUAUACCAAGUACCAGAUCCGCGAACUGGAACGCGAGUUUUUCUUUAACGUGUACAUAAACAAAGAGAAAAGACUUCAACUCUCUCGGAUGCUCAACCUCACUGACCGGCAAGUCAAAAUCUGGUUCCAGAAUCGCAGGAUGAAAGAAAAGAAACUGAACAGAGACCGUCUGCAGUAUUUCACUGGAAACCCCUUAUUUUGAGAGCUCCAGGAAGCGCCCCCUCCCCAGCCCCACUCACCCACCCUCCUUCCCACCAGCCUGCUCUCCGCAGGCCCAAUGUCCUUGGGUUUAAUGACGUCUCUUCUCUGUGGAACUUCACGAUUCCUUCCCACGGUCAACUCGGGACCUCCCAGCGACCACUGCAGCCUGCGGACGAGGCCGGGACUUGGCCGAGCGGAUCCUAAUAAGGGGAAAAUGAGGAAAUCAAGUCUGAUACACCAACCAGCAAUUGGCUCACUGCAAAGAGUGGCAGAAAGAAGAGGUGCCCUUACACUAAGCACCAAACGCUGGAAUUAGAAAAAGAGUUCUUGUUCAAUAUGUACCUCACCCGCGAGCGCCGCCUAGAGAUCAGUAAGAGCGUUAACCUCACCGACAGGCAGGUGAAGAUUUGGUUUCAAAACCGCCGAAUGAAACUCAAGAAGAUGAGCCGAGAGAACCGGAUCCGAGAACUGACCGCCAACCUCACGUUUUCUUAGGUCUGAGGCCGGUCAGAGGCCAGGAUUGGAGAGGGGGCACCGCGUUCCAGGGCCCAGUGCUGGAGGACUGGGAAAGCGGAAACAAAACCUUCACUGCUCUUUGUUUUUCGUUUUGUUGUAUUUUGUUUUCCUGCUAGAAUGUGACUUUGGGG
rnacentral:sRNA from 1 species